rnacentral:lncRNA from 1 species
CGAGGCCUGGUUGCCUCACACUUGUAGCUUAAUUCACCUCUCCAAUGAAUGAAGCGAGUAGCGUGCUACCUUUUUCUCAAAAAAUAAUCUCAAGAAAUAUGCCAGCUACCGACAGUCCCUGGCGCAAGUGGCAAAAGGCUCGGUGGUUAAUACUCGAGGUCUCAAGUUUGAAUCCUAGUUGAUUCACAUUUCCAGCUAAGUUUAUUUCUAAAUAAAUAAAAUAAAUGAAGCACGUAGCAUGCUAUCUAUCUCUCAAAAUAAAAAAAAAAAAAAAACAAUCUCAAGAAAUAUAUAUUGUAUACUAAAUCAAUA